UGGUUCAGUUGACCAAGGCGUAUGGUGGGAGCGCGCCUCUGGAGCGUGUGAUCUGCCAGCUCAAUUAAUAAGCUCAGAUCUAAUGCUCCUGGUUUUUUGCAUUUUUUUAUUUUCUGAUUUUAUUUUCUUUAAUUCCCUUUUAUUUCAAAAAUUCAUAUCUCUCUCAUUUUUAAUCCAAAAAUUUUGUGACCAAUUGCAUUAGUCUCCAAAUAAAUUCUAGUUUCUAUUUCUGAUUUUUAAUAUUUUUUAUUUUGUCAUUUGAUAUUUUUUGUGAAUUUUCUCUUUUCUGGUUAUU
rnacentral:lncRNA from 1 species